rnacentral:lncRNA from 1 species
GAACUCAGCGGCAGGAGGGUGACCGCACUUUUAACCAGCGGCUGCUGUCAUGACGACCCAGGGGGGCCUGGUGGCCAACCGAGGCCGGCGGUUCAAAUGGGCCAUUGAGCUGAGUGGACCGGGAGGAGGGAGCAGGGGCCGAAGUGACCGGGGCAGUGGACAGGGAGACUCACUCUAUCCAGUCGGUUACUUGGACAAGCAAGUGCCUGAUACCAGCGUGCAAGAGACCCGACGGAUCCCUGGUGGAGAAGGUACAGAGGUAUUAGAUGUAACUGUAGCAUUUGGACCAGUCCUGUCUCACCUUACUCUCUGGAGUAGAGGUAAAGCAGCUGGUCACUACCUGAGUGUUUGAGAGCCACAAUGCUUAAGAUUUAUAUUACAGUAUCUUACAUAUAUGUUCCCUGACAUAAUUUCAGUGUGUCGGGAUAUUGUGUUACUUUUACCUUCAAAACAUCCCAAUCCUGCUAUCAUUUCUUACUGCCUUCAACUGUUACAUCACCAGCAGUAGACUAAUAAUCGAUCAACUGUCCCUCCAUCCCUCUAUUUAAAAUAAAGCAUGGUUUCUCAACCUCAGUACUGUUUUCUAUUUGAGGAGGACUACUUCUGUGAACCUGAGAAAGAAAGCACCAUGCUUAUGGACCUCAUCUGCAUUUUAAGCUGUUGACUCCUGAACAUCUUCACUUAAAUAAUCAUGCAUGUUGAGAGGAGCCAAAAAGCUUGCAUUUUUUCCCAUGGUGAAAAGAGAGAUUUUACAAGGACAGUAUGCAGCAUGUUACAGCAGAAAAGAAACUAUAGCACAACUUAUGACUGAAAAUAAUGUAGAAAACUUUAUUUAUGUUCCCAGCACAGAGCAAAACAAACAAAACCAGACUCUAUGUAAACAAAAGACUAGCAGCCGCUGAGUAGCAGCAUCUCCUUUC